rnacentral:rRNA from 1 species
UGACUNGAGUGCAGAAGGGGAGAGUGGAAUUCCAUGUGUAGCGGUGAAAUGCGUAGAUAUAUGGAGGAACACCAGUGGCGAAAGCGGCUCUCUGGUCUGUCACUGACGCUGAGGCUCGAAAGCGUGGGUAGCGAACAGGAUUAGAUACCCUGGUAGUCCACGCCGUAAACGAUGAGUGCUAGGUGUUAGGCCCUUUCCGGGGCUUAGUGCCGGAGCUAACGCAAUAAGCACUCCGCCUGGGGAGUACGACCGCAAGGUUGAAACUCAAAGGAAUUGACGGGGGCCCGCACAAGCGGUGGAGCAUGUGGUUUAAUUCGAAGCAACGCGAAGAACCUUACCAGGUCUUGACAUCCCGAUGCUAUUCUUAGAGAUAGGAAGUUACUUCGGUACAUCGGAGACAGGUGGUGCAUGGUUGUCGUCAGCUCGUGUCGUGAGAUGAUGGGUUAAGUCCCGCAACGAGCGCAACCCUUAUUGUUAGUUGCCAUCAUUAAGUUGGGCACUCUAGCGAGACUGCCGGUAAUAAACCGGAGGAAGGUGGGGAUGACGUCAAAUCAUCAUGCCCCUUAUGACCUGGGCUACACACGUGCUACAAUGGUCGGUACAACGAGUUGCGAGCCGGUGACGGCAAGCUAAUCUCUGAAAGCCGAUCUCAGUUCGGAUUGGAGGCUGCAACUCGCCUCCAUGAAGUCGGAAUCGCUAGUAAUCGCGGAUCAGCACGCCGCGGUGAAUACGUUCCCGGGCCUUGUACACACCGCCCGUCACACCACGAGAGUUUGUAACACCCGAAGUCGGUGAGGUAACCUUUUAGGGGCC